rnacentral:lncRNA from 1 species
UUUGGUUCAAGAUCAAGCUCCUGUAGUUGUUGAUCAGUUGCAGAUCUUUCAAGAAGCUCUGAGGGAGCAACAAGAAGGGUUAGAAAGGCAAAGGACAGCUCACCUCAACCUGGAAUCCAAAGUGGAUGGUCUAGUUUCCAAUGUGGGAUCUUUGAAUGACAAAUUUGACCAGCUCUUAGCCUUUCUCAAGAAACCCUAGGAUUCUAUGCACUUGUUUUAAGCUGUUUUGUUUUUCUUGUUAUCUUCUGAACAAUUUUAUUUGUCUGGUUUAUAUGUUUCAAGUUGUCUUGUUUAUGUUUUGCUUGAUUUUUUUUAACUUGUUAUUCAUAUUUUUCUUUAUUUUGUCUGAACAAUUUCUUAUUUUGG